AUAAAACUGCACUCCCUCUGCUGCAGAGACCAGAACAUUUCCUCUGUUUCACAUCUAAACAUGAUCUACUGCUAUAACAUACACAUUUGCCUUUGUUCCUUACUUUUGGCUUCUUAUUUUCAAGGUGUACAAUGCAACACUCAAGUCUUCCAGACCCCAGUAAUGAUUGCUGAAGAAGGCCAGGAAAUCACAUUAAGAUGUAACCACUCCAUUAAAAACCAUGAUUUUCUGGUCUGGUACAAACAGCUACCCGGAUCAUCCCUUCAGAUCUGCGCUUCAGGAUUCCUGCAACCCAACAACAUUUGCCGUGUUACUAUGAGUACAGAUAAGGAGAGCUUGUCAACACAACUUUCUAUCAGCAAAGUACGUGUGGAAGAGUCAGCCCUGUAUUACUGUGCUGUGAGAGACACAGUGAAAGAAACACAGAACUCAGCUGUGCCAAAAGCCAUCCCCUAACUACUUCAUUGCUUAAAGCACAAGAUACUGCAUCUUGUAAGAAAGUGUUCACUUUGUGUUUUUUUAGGGGUCAGAUGAACAACAUUGUAAUGGUGUAGUUUCAGUGCAGCACUUAAAUCAUAUUGAAACAUAAAUGAUUUGGGGGUGUCAAUGUGUUACGCAACCCCAUUUAUAAAUAAUGUGCCCCUUGCCAGUGUGGUGCUUCUUCACAAAUGCUCCUGAGCACUUGAACCUUUAUCUAUUAGUGAUAAGUGGGUCAAUCAGUUGCUGACUUGUGCCAACAAUCACUCACCCUUCCUAACCCAAAUAUGUUUUUAGCUUUGCAACAAUAAUAAAAGUUAUGUAUUAACAUGCAUUUUGGGAAUGCAUUUUGGGAAUGAUUGUAUGUUCCACUUACAAUCAGAUCUCUUUCUAUCUGUGCCCGACUUAUUUCACAUAAUAUGGCAACCUUCAUUUAUUAGCUGUUCAGCAGUACUCACUCAGCCUGUUCAGUCCUCUCUGACUUUUACACUAGGGCUCGUUUAUAAACCUUGGGCAAAUUUGCACUUGGGUAAUAACCCAAAGCAACCAAUUAAAAAAAUAAAGCAAGCAUAUGAUUGCUUAUAAUUAAAGACCCACUAUGUUUCCCACCUAGCCUGCUUAUUGGACCAAGCAUACAGUGAAGCCUAUUACUGGCCUAGCCAUUAAGCACAGUGUUAAACAAUUUUCCAAACUUACAUGUUUUCUAUUCUAACAAACCUGCCUGUUUUCAGGAUGUGUUUAAAUCCUUUUAAGGCAGCAGUCAGAUUUCAUUCUAUGCUAUGCAGUUUUCGAAGUAAGCACUAUCAAAUAUUAUUUUGAACGUGUGCACCUGAAAUGUUGCAACACCAUGCUACUCAAACUUGCAAAAGGAUGGAAGGACACUCCGGCUAAAAGAGAAAGGUGGUUUAUUGCAACAGGUCCCAAACCAACAUAGCCUGACGCGUUUCUGGAGCAACUUCCGUAAUCAUAGGCUUCAACUACUCAACUUGCACAAAAAUACAAGUGCAAUUACACCUGUAUUCAAACAUCAUGCUCAAUUGCAGGAGAGCAGGCACAAUUACAGUAUGCUGAAAGUAUGGGACAGAUGUUUCAUUACGGGUAAAAAAAAUUGCAAUUUGAGUCCAAGAUUGCUCUUUGCACAUUGUCCUUGUGUUCAUAAAUGACCCCUAUAGUUUAUUUGCAAAGCUAUAUAAAUCCUUCCAGUGUUUAUUUUUUUUAAUUGGACU